rnacentral:rRNA from 1 species
AUGUCAUGUUUCAAACUCCCACGAGGGUUAUGUGAUCAUAUAAAAUCCAUAAUCAGGAAGUUUUGGUGGGGGUGCAAACAGGGACAACGUAAGCCGGCUUGGGUUUCCUGGGAUGUGAUGACACGUCCUAAACAUCUAGGCGGGCUAGGAUUCAGGGAUCUAGAGAUUUUCAAUCUAUCCCUGUUGGCUCGCCAAGCCUGGCGACUACUACAAGAACCAAUGAGUUUGAGCGCAAGAAUUGUGAAGGCCGCAUAUUAUCCAAACAAUUCGGUUCUUGAUGCGGAGUUGGGAUCAAGGCCGUCUCAGAUUUGGCGGGCUAUAUUGGAAGGACGGGAUCUGUUGAGGCAGGGGCUCAUUCGUCGGAUUGGUAAUGGGCAAUCAACGGAGAUUUGGAUGGAUAACUGGAUUCCG